GGUAAGAAUAUUCCGCAAUGGACGAAAGUCUGACGGAGCGACGCCGCGUGGAUGAUGAAGGCCGAAAGGUUGUAAAGUUCUUUUGUACUGGACGAAUAAGUAUAGCAGGCAAUGGUUAUAUGGUGACGGUACAGUAUGAAUAAGCACCGGCUAAUUACGUGCCAGCAGCCGCGGUAACACGUAAGGUGCAAGCGUUGUUCGGAAUUAUUGGGCGUAAAGGGCAUGUAGGCGGUCAGACAAGCUUGGUGUGAAAUCUACGGGCUUAACCCGUAAACUGCAUUGAGAACUAUUUGACUAGAGUCACUGAAGUGCAACCAGAAUUCCAGGUGUAGGGGUGAAAUCUGUAGAUAUCUGGAAGAAUACCAAUGGCGAAGGCAGGUUACAGGCAGAUGACUGACGCUGAGGUGCGAAGGUGCGGGGAGCAAACAGGAUUAGAAACCCUUGUAGUCC
rnacentral:rRNA from 1 species